rnacentral:lncRNA from 1 species
AUCAAAAUAGACUACAUUUUCAUGAACGACAUCUCGAAGGAGUUGCUAGGGUAGACAAUAAUGGCCAUCUCCUGGUCUUCAAAUACGACAGGUGGUAAAACAUUUGCUAAUCGGAAUGUAAAUAACGGCAUCAGGAAUAUACCGCUUUUGAAAAGUAACAAAUUGACCGAGAGAAAACAAUCCGGGCCACAAACUGAAACCGAGGGAAAC